rnacentral:rRNA from 1 species
GACGAACGCUGGCGGCGUGCUUAACACAUGCAAGUCGAACGGAAAGGCCCUGCUUUUGUGGGGUGCUCGAGUGGCGAACGGGUGAGUAACACGUGAGUAACCUGCCCUUGACUUUGGGAUAACUUCAGGGAACUGGGGCUAAUACCGGAUAGGAGCUCCUGCUGCAUGGUGGGGGUUGGAAAGUUUCGGCGGUUGGGGAUGGACUCGCGGCUUAUCAGCUGGUUGGUGGGGUAGGUGCUUACCAAGGCUUUGACGGGUAGGCGGCCUGAGAGGGUGGACGGCCACAAUGGGACUGAGAUACGGCCCAGACUCCUACGGGAGGCAGCAGUGGGGAAUAUUGCACAAUGGGCGGAAGCCUGAUGCAGCAACGCCGCGUGCGGGAUGACGGCCUUCGGGUUGUAAACCGCUUUCGCCUGUGACGAAGCGUGAGUGACGGUAAUGGGUAAAGAAGCACCGGCUAACUACGUG